rnacentral:rRNA from 1 species
GACGAACGCUGGCGGCGUGCCUAACACAUGCAAGUCGAGCGAAUGAAAUUCCUUCGGGAACGGAUUUAGCGGCGGACGGGUGAGUAACACGUGGGCAACCUGCCUCAUAGAGGGGAAUAGCCUUCCGAAAGGGAGAUUAAUACCGCAUAAGAUUGUAGUACCGCAUGGUACAGCAAUUAAAGGAGCAAUCCGCUAUGAGAUGGGCCCGCGGCGCAUUAGCUAGUUGGUGAGGUAACGGCUCACCAAGGCGACGAUGCGUAGCCGACCUGAGAGGGUGAUCGGCCACAUUGGGACUGAGACACGGCCCAGACUCCUACGGGAGGCAGCAGUGGGGAAUAUUGCACAAUGGGGGAAACCCUGAUGCAGCAACGCCGCGUGAGUGAUGACGGCCUUCGGGUUGUAAAGCUCUGUCUUCAGGGACGAUAAUGACGGUACCUGAGGAGGAAGCCACGGCUAGCUACGUGCCAGCCGCCGCAGUAACAC